AAACAAGAACACAUCCAUAUUUAGGCAUUCGUCUUUUAGAGAUUUAGAGAUCCAUGGUAACGACUCUCAAGAAGUCAUGCCCACAAGUGAAUGUGGCUGGAAGCUGGUUGGGUUAUGCGGAUCACAAGAGGGGGAGGAGUCAAGUUUCAUCACUUCCCUUUUUCAGGAGGAGCACAGAGGAAGUGACUUUUUGCUGAAUCAUUGUGGAGUUGCAUCAGUGGGGUCCUACUCGCAGAGGAUGACUCCGUCCCUCAGGCCUCUCUGGAAGCUGUCUCCGAUGGG